GACGAACGCUGGCGGCGUGCUUAACACAUGCAAGUCGAACGGAAAGGCCCUGCUUUUGUGGGGUGCUCGAGUGGCGAACGGGUGAGUAACACGUGAGUAACCUGCCCUUGACUUUGGGAUAACUUCAGGAAACUGGGGCUAAUACCAGAUAGGAGCUCCUGCUGCAUGGUGGGGGUUGGAAAGUUUCGGUGGUUGGGGAUGGACUCGCGGCUUAUCAGCUUGUUGGUGGGGUAGUGGCUUACCAAGGCUUUGACGGGUAGCCGGCCUGAGAGGGUGACCGGCCACAUUGGGACUGAGAUACGGCCCAGACUCCUACGGGAGGCAGCAGUGGGGAAUAUUGCACAAUGGGCGGAAGCCUGAUGCAGCAACGCCGCGUGCGGGAUGACGGCCUUCGGGUUGUAAACCGCUUUCGCCUGUGACGAAGCGUGAGUGACGGUAAUGGGUAAAGAAGCACCGGCUAACUACGUG
rnacentral:rRNA from 1 species